rnacentral:rRNA from 1 species
UACGUAGGGGGCAAGCGUUGUCCGGAAUCAUUGGGCGUAAAGAGCGUGUAGGCGGCCCGGUAAGUCCGCUGUGAAAGUCCAGGGCUCAACCCUGGGAUGCCGGUGGAUACUGUCGGGCUCGAGUCCGGAAGAGGAGUGUGGAAUUCCUGGUGUAGCGGUGAAAUGCGCAGAUAUCAGGAGGAACACCGGUGGCGAAGGCGGGUCUCUGGGCAACAACUGACGCUGAGGAGCGAAAGCGUGGGGAGCGAACAGG